UGAUGCUGGUGUCAAACAGAGAUUGAUCAGACAUCAGUAAACUCAACUUGGGUACUUUCAUAUCCAAAAGCUCUGUAAAAGCCUCCUCAUCCUCAAAUAAUACUUCAUUACUCGAGUUUCAUUUAGUUUCGGGGUUACGCCAUUUGCAGCUAAAACCCCAUGGAACGUCAGAAGAAACAAAGAAAAAUUAAUUUUUUCAAUCGUGUAUGG
rnacentral:lncRNA from 1 species